rnacentral:rRNA from 1 species
AUAGCACUCUAUACUGUGAAACUGCGAAUGGCUCAUUAAAUCAGUUAUCGUUUAUUUGAUAGUACCUUACUACUUGGAUAACCGUGGUAAUUCUAGAGCUAAUACAUGCUAAAAACCUCGACUUCGGAAGAGGUGUAUUUAUUAGAUAAAAAACCAAUGCCCUUCGGGGCUCCUUGGUGAUUCAUAAUAACUUAACGAAUCGCAUGGCCUUGUGCCGGCGAUGGUUCAUUCAAAUUUCUGCCCUAUCAACUUUCGAUUAUAGGGUUUUGGCCUAUAAUGGUUUCAACGGGUAACGGGGAAUUAGGGUUCUAUUCCGGAGAGGGAGCCUGAGAGACGUAAGUUCCUUUUUUUUAGAAUCUUUAGAGGGUAUUGCGAGCAUCAAAACUCUAUACAAUGUUAUGUUUAUAGCGUACUGUAUUAGUAGUUUUAUAUAAGCGACUGAGUUUUUGAUGCUCUUAUGAUACCCUCUAGAGUUUAAAUUUUCUUAUAAGCUUUUGCUAACUAUAUAUUUUCAGGGCUACCACAUCCAAGGAAGGCAGCAGGCGCGCAAAUUACCCAAUCCCGACACGGGGAGGUAGUGACAAUAAAUACUGAUACAGGGCUCUUUUGGGUCUUGUAAUUGGAAUGAGUACAAUUUAAAUCCCUUAACGAGGAACAAUUGGAGGGCAAGUCUGGUGCCAGCAGCCGCGGUAAUUCCAGCUCCAAUAGCGUAUAUUAAAGUUGUUGCAGUUAAAAAGCUCGUAGUUGAACCUUGGGUCUGGCUGGCCGGUCCGCCUCACCGCGUGCACUGGUCCGGCCGGGCCUUUCCUUCUGAGGAACUGCAUGCCCUUCACUGGGUGUGUCAGGGAAUCAGGACUUUUACUUUGAAAAAAUUAGAGUGUUCAAAGCAGGCCUUUGCUCGAAUACAUUAGCAUGGAAUAAUAGAAUAGGUGAGUAACUUCAUUUCUUUGCAAAUCAUGCAUAGCAUAGCGCGAGUUCCCCUAUUCUGGCUCAGCAGGUGAUUGUUUUAGUUCUACCAGAUAAUCCUGUAGUCAGGUAGCCUAUAGACUAGUGGUCUUUAGGUCAAAGCAAUCGCUUCCUCUAAACUUACUCGUGCUAACCGUGCUAUGCUAUGUGUGCUUUGUGCUUUUAUCGUUUUUCAUUUUGUGAUCAGACACUAACGUGUCAAACAGGACGUGUGGUUCUAUUUUGUUGGUUUCUAGGACCGCCGUAAUGAUUAAUAGGGAUAGUCGGGGGUGUCAGUAUUCAAUUGUCAGAGGUGAAAUUCUUGGAUUUAUUGAAGACUAACUACUGCGAAAGCAUUCACCAAGGAUGUUUUCAUUAAUCAGUGAACGAAAGUUAGGGGAUCGAAGACGAUCAGAUACCGUCGUAGUCUUAACCAUAAACUAUGCCGACUAGGGAUCGGGCGAUGUUAUCUUUUUGACUCGCUCGGCACCUUACGAGAAAUCAAAGUCUUUGGGUUCUGGGGGGAGUAUGGUCGCAAGGCUGAAACUUA